GAGCACAUGGAGUAGGAGUUUGCCAAAUCUACCUUGCAUUUUUUUUCUUGAUUCGUGGGCAAAGGACAAUUGUUUUGCGUGGAUUUUUUGCUCUUUUAGGACUCAUUAGUCUUGCAGACCCACAGUCAAGACUAUCCUUGGAGGACCUUUGAGGUACAGCAACAAGGCAUGGUUCCUAUUAUCUGGACUCAAACUUUGGGAAGCAGACACAGAUAAUGGCUUUGCUGCACACCUCAGCCAGACACACCAAAGAUUGUUGACUCCUCUAUACACUUCACUUUCCUGACAAGAAUAAGAUGAUAUUCUGGACAAAAUCAGAAGGUUUAGGAGAAACGUCCAUAGGAGAAGGGAAAGCAGCAAACCAGGGAGGAGGAGAGGUGAACCAUCUGACAUCAAUUCCAGUCGAUGAAUGACUGGAAUCGAGGAAGCUUUAUGGGGGACAGUGAUUGCUGGUGCAGGUGUGUCUUAUUAGAAUUCAGGU